rnacentral:lncRNA from 1 species
CUUGCAUCUAAACUUUAUCCAAAAUUAGGUGCCCUGUACAGAAACAAAUCCUGCCUAAGCCCUACAGUAAAGGAAAAGAUUGUACAGCAAAUGCUGAUGCCAAUAAUUGAUUAUGGGGAUGUAGUAUAUGCAUCUGCAUCGCAAUCCCACAUUAAUAAACUCAACACAUUGUAUAACUCGUUCUGCCGAUUUGUGCUACAAUGUAAUUACAGGACCCAUCAUUGUGACAUGCUAAAAGAACUAAACUGGCUAUCGCUGGAAUCCAGACGCACCCUUCAUCUUUCCAGCCUUGUUUUUAAGAGCUUUUCUGGGAAACUCCCACCCUACCUGAACAAAAUGCUUUCCCCAGCU